UUUCUCAGAGAGAAGAGGAAGGGUUGGUUGGUGUUGGGGUUGUCGCCGGCGACGGAGUUGGAAGUGCGGUGGCGGUGGAGCUGAGAUGGGGUUGUCAAAGUUAGGAAUGUUCUCAGGCGGAGGAGGUCGCCGGCGCCGGAGUUGGAGGUGGAGAGGAGGCGGUGGUGGUGGAGCAGAGAAAGAGAACGAGAAGGGUUAGUCAAAGUGUGGAUUGUUCUGAGACGGAGGAGGAAAGCCAUGGCUGAAGAAGAAGAAGAAGAGGAGGCACCAGCUGUCAUGUGAGAGUGGUGAAGAAGAAAAUGAAAAUGUGAGAUCCUAUGCUACAAUACAAAACUGUAAUAUUUUCAAGAAAAUACCUAAACUAGGGGACAAACACAAGAAUGUCAUUUUGUUUUUAUAUAUGGUUGACUUAGGUUGGAUAAAUAAGAAAUUCUAGCCAAGUAGUCAAUAAGCUCUCUAUAUCCCCAUUUAAGGGAUGAUGUAAUUGGGAUAGCUAUAUCCAAACUAGUGGUGUAAUCUUGUUUUUUUGGGCUUUCGCCCCCUUUAUUAUCAAAAAAUUGGAGGUGGAGAGGAGGCGGUGGUGGUGGAGCAGAGAAAGAGAACGAGAAGGGUUAGUCAAAGUGUGGAUUGUUCUGAGACGGAGGAGGAAAGCCAUGGCUGAAGAAGAAGAAGAAGAGGAGGCACCAGCUGUCAUGUGAGAGUGGUGAAGAAGAAAAUGAAAAUGUGAGAUCCUAUGCUACAAUACAAAACUGUAAUAUUUUCAAGAAAAUACCUAAACUAGG
rnacentral:lncRNA from 1 species